UCCGUAGGCGGGCAAUUAAGUCAGAGGUGAAAUCCCACAGCUUAACUGUGGAACUGCCUUUGAUACUGGUUGUCUUGAGUUACAGUGAAGUAGAUAGAAUAUGUAGUGUAGCGGUGAAAUGCAUAGAUAUUACAUAGAAUACCGAUUGCGAAGGCAGUCUACUAACUGUAUACUGACGCUAAUGGACGAAAGCGUGGGGAGCGAACAGGAUUAGAUACCCUGGUAGUCC
rnacentral:rRNA from 1 species